UACGUAGGUGGCAAGCGUUAUCCGGAUUUACUGGGUGUAAAGGGCGUGUAGGCGGGACUGCAAGUCAGAUGUGAAAACCACGGGCUCAACCUGUGGCCUGCAUUUGAAACUGUAGUUCUUGAGUACUGGAGAGGCAGACGGAAUUCCUAGUGUAGCGGUGAAAUGCGUAGAUAUUAGGAGGAACACCAGUGGCGAAGGCGGUCAGCUGGACAGCAACUGACGCUGAGGCGCGAAAGCGUGGGGAGCAAACAGG
rnacentral:rRNA from 1 species